rnacentral:rRNA from 1 species
AACGAACCGUGCGAACGUUGUUCGGAAUCACUGGGCUUAAAGGGCGCGUAGGCGGCCUUGAAAGUCGGGGGUGAAAUCCCACGGCCUAACCGUGGAAGUGCCUCCGAUACUGCAAGGCUCGAGGGAGGUAGGGGCAGCGGGAACUUCCGGUGGAGCGGUGAAAUGCGUUGAUAUCGGAAGGAACGCCGGUGGCGAAAGCGCGCUGCUGGACCUCUGCUGACGCUGAGGCGCGAAAGCCAGGGGAGCAAACGGG